rnacentral:lncRNA from 1 species
GAAACCAAAGCAAAACGUGGCUAGAGAGAGAGAGAGAGAGAGAAAGAAGUAAGGUGCUUUAGAAGUAUAGACAUUUCCAAAGACCGAUAAACUGCCGGGAAAUUCUGAAAAACUGUCUAGAAGUGAAGAAUUUUUUUUCAGAGUUCUGAUCAGUCCAGACCAGUCCACUUAAGACAUCGACGUUGGGUUUUGGGAUUUAACAUCACGGUACCAAGACGAAGAUUUGGAGGGGAUAAAAGGGGUUUGGUCAACAUCUGGAAUCAAAGAGUCGAGCCACAUCGCUUAAUCACUGUGAGUCACGGUUAACUGAUUGUUAACGAAUUAUUAAUGCAGGUUCUCGACAUCGGAGACGGCUUCCGAGCUAGGAUAGCCGGACCGGUCUAGGUGUCAGUUUGUGGAUCCGAGGCUUGAGACGAUGUCUGGGCUAAGUGGAAAGCAAGACUAGUCUAAGCACCCGGAUUAUUGUGAUUGUGUGAUUAUUAUAUAUUGUUAUAGUGUGUACCUCAUGUUGGUACUGUUGUGUGAGAACCUCGUGGUGGUUCUAGUAGUAGUUUGCAGGUCAUUGCUUCCUCAAAUGGUACCACUAAGCCAGUCGUGGUCCGGAAAGUGGUGGGCUCGGUUUAACUUGGCUUGAUCACCAAGGCCGAGUGUCACACGUGGAUGUGACAGUCCCCGGCGAGUCCGAUAGAGGACCGGGGUACGGCGAUUCCGAUUGAGGACCGUGACCGGGCGAUUCCCGAGCGCCUACACCUAUGUGGUGUAAUAGUGAAGGGAUGGCCGGUGUCCUUUAUGGGAGGAAGAAUGAUUCUGUUGGGCCCUAGGAGUAUAUAUAUAUAUGGUUGAUUGAUGUGACACUCAUAAAGACUGUUUUAAUUUAUUAUGGUUUAAUUGUUUAGUGCUUAAUCAUUUAAGCUUUGAAUAUGGUUGUGGAACUACUCGUCUUGCUUGUGUUUGGGGUAAAGUUUAGAAUGACGGGUAGUUGUAUAUGCUAGAUAAGGAACCCUGGCUCACUGAGUGAAACUAGUUCACUCACUCCUCACAUCUUUUUGCAGGUGACCAGUAGAAAGGACCAUAUCCCUCGCGGAACUGUAGGAGCUGGUGUAGAUUGGACAUCUUUUGCUAAAGACACGUUUUCAAGAUAUAUGAAUGUAUGUUUUACUUACGACUGCGUCCAUGGACCCUAUGUAUAAUAUUUUGGGC